rnacentral:rRNA from 1 species
GAUUUCUGGUAUUGUGCACCCGAUCGACGGUGGCAACAUCGCCUGUAUUGGUGUUUUUGCGCAUGCCAUCUUGCUAGGUUAGGCCGCAGCUAUACUUUACUGUAUGGUUGCCCUAUCUUCCUAGCUCAUUUACUUUGAAAAAAUUAGAGUGUUUAAAGCAGGCUUGCGCCUUGAAUACAUUAGCAUGGAAUAAUAAUUUAGGACUUCUUCCUAUUUUAUUGGUUUCUAGGGAUGAAGUAAUGAUUGAUAGGGAUAGUUGGGGGUGCUAGUAUUCAUCGGCCAGAGGUGAAAUUCUUGGAUUCGAUGAAGACUAACUAAUGCGAAAGCAUU